rnacentral:SRP_RNA from 1 species
GCUGGGCAUGGUGGCUCAUGCCUGUAAUCCCAGCACUUUGGGAGGCCAAGGUGGGUGGAUCACUUGAGGUCAGGAGUUCAAGACCAGCCUGGCCAACAUGGUGAAACCCCAUCUUUA